CCUACGGGAGGCUGCAGUGAGGAAUAUUGGUCAAUGGGCGAGAGCCUGAACCAGCCAAGUCGCGUGAGGGAAGACGGUCCUAUGGAUUGUAAACCUCUUUUGCCGGGGAGCAAAAAGCGGUACGUGUACCGCAUCGAGAGUACCCGGAGAAACAGCAUCGGCUAACUCCGUGCCAGCAGCCGCGGUAAUACGGAGGAUGCGAGCGUUAUCCGGAUUUAUUGGGUUAAAGGGGUGCGCAGGCGGCGAGUUAAGUCAGCGGUAAAAUUUCGGGGCUCAACCCCGACAAGCCGUUGAAACUGGCGUGCUAGAGUGGGCGAGAAGUAUGCGGAAUGCGUGGUGUAGCGGUGAAAUGCAUAGAUAUCACGCAGAACUCCGAUUGCGAAGGCAGCAUACCGGCGCCCAACUGACGCUCAGGCACGAAAGCGUGGGUAUCGAACAGGAUUAGAUACCCGGGUAGUC
rnacentral:rRNA from 1 species